UUUGUAUUUUUUGGUAGAGACAGAGUUUUACCAUGUUGGCCAAGCUGGUCUCAAACUCCUGACCUCAAGUGAUCCUCCUGCCUCAGCCUCCCAAAAUAUGAGGAUUACAGGCAUGAGCCACCACGCCCGACCAAAAUCUGAAACUUUUUGAUCACCACACUUUACCACAAGUGUAAAAUUCCACACACAAGUACUCAAUGGCAACUGUUUUAUGCACAAAUUUGUUUAAAAUAUUG
rnacentral:lncRNA from 1 species